rnacentral:rRNA from 1 species
AAGGGCACCACAAGAACGCGUGGAGCAUGUGGCUUAAUUUGACUCAACGCGGGAAAUCUUACCGGGUCCGGACACACUGAGGAUUGACAGGCGCUGGCAGUGGUGUUUGCUGUGGGCUUGCCCCGCAGCCGCCAAUGCUUUCAAAUAUGCUAGUCCUUUCAUGAUUGUGUGAUAGGUGGUGCAUGGCCGUUCUUAGUUCGUGGAGUGAUCUGUCUGCUUAAUUGCGUUUCACAAGGGACUUGCAUGGCAUACGUUGGGGCACGGUGCCUCCUGCCGUCUGCCCUUCGGGGCCGGAGGAGUGUCGCGCCUGCCUUUCAACAGCCAACAGUCCGAAGGCAACGAACGUGACCGCAGCCUCUUGUUACCUCUCUGUUUUCCACUUCNGUGUGGUUCUGCUGCCAGGGUUGUGUGCAGUUUCGGCUGUGUGCUGCCCUGCAGUGAACUGUCUCCGUUGAGAGAGGUAAACUAGAGGGACCGCCGACGUUUUCAAACCGGAGGAAGGUUGCGGCAAUAACAGGUCUGUGAUGCCCUUAGAUGUUCCGGGCUGCACACGUGCUACAAUGAUUAUUGCAGUGAGCAUCUUCACAAGUUCGUGGGAUGUCUGUGCCUUGGCCAUUUUGCUCAGUCUGGUGCGGUAAUCCGGUUGCGGAGGGCUCAGACGGCUGGGGGGCCCUCACGGGUUUCUUGGUCGAAUGGGUUCUCAAUCGUGCUGGAGACCCGCGCUGCUGGUUUUGGCCUUGGCGCGCAUCCGUUAUCACGACACGCCUGCUUCGAAAGUAAGCAGGUAAUCAAUUCGAAGUAAUGAUUUCCAUCCGCACUCAUCAGCGCUGGUGGGAUGACCGGCCCUCGCGGCCGUGUCUUUACACCGGUGCGUGCUCCAUAACUUCGUGGUGGGGACAGACCCUUGUAAAUUGUUGGUCUCGGUCUCAACUAGGAAUGCCUUGUACGGGUCUUGGUUCAACAAACCACCCGGAAUACGUCCCUGCCCUUUGUACACACCGCCCGUC